rnacentral:rRNA from 1 species
UAACGAAUCUUCCGCAAUGCGCGAAAGCGUGACGGAGCAAUGCCGCGUGCAGGAUGAAGCCCCUCGGGGUGUAAACUGCUGUCAGGGUUUAGCAACACAAUGAGCAGACCCAAGGGAAGGGCCGGCUAACUUCGUGUCAGCAGCCGCGGUAAUACGAAGGGCCCGAGCGUUGCGCGGAAUCACUGGGCUUAAAGCGUACGUAGGCGGGCGUGCAGGCGUCUUGUGAAAGCCCUCGGCUCAACCGAGGAAUUGCAGGACGAACCGCACGUCUUGAGGCGAGUAGGGGCUGUCGGAACGAUCGGUGGAGUGGUGAAAUGCGUUGAUAUCGAUCGGAACGCCGAAGGAGAAAUCAGGCAGCUGGGCUUGUCCUGACGCUCAGGUACGAAAGCGUGGGGAGCGAACG